UCAUUGUGCCCUAGUUUCCAUUAUCGAGAGAGAGAGAGAGAGAGAGGGUAAAAAUGGCGGGAGAAGAUUCAGACAACCAGCCGUCGUCGCCAGCUUCACCUUCCUCGGCUGGGUUCAACACCGACCAGUUACCUUUCAGUACGAGCCAGAACUCCGAGAAUAUUUCCGAUGAAGAAGCAGAGGUAGAUCCGCAAAUCAUAAGAGAUGAGCCGGAGGAGGAAGAAGAAGAAGAUGGAGAAGAUCUCUUCAACGAUAACUUCCUCCAGUAAGCACGCCUUUCACUUACAAAAUAUUUCGUCUUAGUUUUAUAAUUUGCUAAAUUGUUUUUUUUUAAAAUUAAAUUAAAAUUGACAGAGACUAUGGAAGAAGAGAUGAGCAAGAUCAGUAUGAGUCUGUUGGAUUGGACGAUUCGGUAGACGAUGAUAGGGAUUUAGGUCAGAUUGCGCUUGACCGUCGCGCCGCCGAUGCUGUCCUCGAUGCUCGUGAAAGUCGCUUCGCUAACCGCAAGCUUCCUCAUCUUCUUCACGACAAUAAUGGUAACCUCUAAUCUCCUCCUGUUCACUAACUGAAUUUUGAAUGAAAUCUGAAACCCUAAUUAAGGAUACACGGUUCAGAUUCAGAUGAUUGGAACUAUAGACCUUCCAAGAGGGCUCGAGCUGCGGUUCCGCCAAGAGAUCCUGAUGGAGACCCAAGUUCCCAGCCUGAUGUUUCUAUGACUGAUCAAACAGAUGACUAUCAAGAUGAGGUAUAUAUGAUUGAUUAUUAUGUGUCUUUCAGUUCUAUUAGCAGUGCUAAUCGUGUUCUCGUAAAUUUAGGAUGACAACGACGAUGAAGCAGAGUUUGAGAUGUAUCGGAUCCAAGGAAGUCUGAGGGAAUGGGUUAUGAGAGACGAAGUGCGUCGUUUCAUUGCCAAGAAGUUCAGAGACUUCUUGCUCACUUUUGUCAAACCAAACAAUGAGAAUGGAGAAUAUGUUCGUCUGAUUAAUGAAAUGGUCUCAGGUACUUUUUUUUUUUUUUUGUUUGCUACUGCACUUUGUAGAGCUAUAAGAAUGAGAUAGCAGCUUUCUGAUACUGGUAUGUAUAUGUCAUCUCUCUUAUCUGCAGCUAAUAAGUGCAGUCUAGAAAUUGACUACAAAGAGUUCAUACAUGUCCCCCCGAAUAUUGCCAUCUGGCUAGCCGAUGCUCCACAACCUGUUCUUGAAGUCAUGGAGGAAGUUUCAGAAAAGGUCAUCUUUGAUCUGCACCCAAACUACAAGAAUAUUCACCAGAAGAUUUAUGUUCGUGUUACCAAUCUACCAGUAAAUGACCAGAUUCGGAACAUAAGGUAAUUAAUAUUGAUUGAGCUGAACAUAUCGACAGUGGUGAAUUUAUAAUUCUUCAGCUUAACCCUUUUCUGUCGGUGACUUUUUCAGGCAGAUUCAUCUUAACACUAUGAUCCGCAUUGGUGGAGUUGUCACGAGGCGCUCUGGGGUCUUUCCUCAGCUGCAGCAGGUGAAAUAUGACUGCAACAAGUGUGGAGCGGUUUUGGGACCUUUCUUCCAAAACUCUUAUUCAGAAGUCAAGGUCGGUUCUUGCUCUGAAUGCCAAUCAAAAGGACCGUUUACUGUUAAUGUCGAACAGGUAAGGAUUCUAUUGUCUCUCUCUCUAUCAUUUCCCUUUGAAUAAAUGAGCUUCACUGUAAGCUUUAAAUUUAGAAAUGUGAUGUUUAACAUGCUUCUGUUAAUUACUCUCCUUGCUUCAGACAAUAUACAGGAACUAUCAGAAGCUUACCAUUCAAGAGAGUCCAGGAACAGUGCCUGCUGGACGACUUCCAAGACACAAGGAAGUUAUCUUGCUGAAUGACCUUAUUGAUUGCGCUCGUCCUGGAGAAGAAAUUGUACGUUCAUAUACCUUACUCUUCUAGAAUACUUAGAUGAUUGAUAUUAUCUUGCAUGAUAUGUAUUCCAGGAGGUUACUGGGAUAUAUACCAACAAUUUUGACCUCUCUUUGAACACAAAGAAUGGUUUUCCUGUCUUCGCCACUGUGGUGGAAGCAAAUUAUGUUACAAAGAAGCAAGACCUCUUCUCUGCAUACAAGCUAACCCAGGAAGACAAGACGCAAAUUGAAGAGUUAUCCAAGGAUCCACGUAUAGUUGAACGUGUAAGUCGGAUAUAAAUUCUUUGGAAUUCCUUCAAAGUUAAGUUCAUCCCACUUAAAAGUUAUUUCAAUUUCUCUCUCAGAUCAUUUAAAACUAAAAUUAAAAACCAAAAACCAAAAACCAAAUUUUUUUUUUAUAGUAAAAAUGUUAAGAUUCAUUACCAAUUUUCAAGUUUUUUUACAGAAAUACAGAGAUGACAAAGGAGCAGAAAGACAUAAUGAAACUAAACACAAACUCAUGCCUAGCUAAACAAGGGCUAAUCAUCAAGUUGAGCAGCUAACAAGCAAAAGAAACAUCAAAAUCGGAACAUACACUUGCCGCAGAAUCGAACCCGCAGUGAUACGAGAACUGAACCCGGUAAAGUUUGGCAUUCCCGAUGAUCAGUUCUUAAUGAUCGGACUCAUCAAAAACAGCUUGCGUCGACCUCCUAAUCUGCGGCCUUCACUUACAUACAACAACACCCGAGAACGAGCACACCCGCAGUGACUAAGACGAGCUUUAUUCGGAAAAGAGCCUCUUGGAACCGCCACACACCAUCGAUACUACACCAAGAAAACAAAGAAAGCAAGCACCACCUUGAGUCAAAGCGGACAGGAGAUAGCCCUAGAUCACGCCCCUGAAACUUGCUGCCUCAGCGUGCGCCGCCACCGAGGAGAGAAGCCGUGGUUGACAAGUCUGAUAGCUAACCUGAUGUGCCCCAGUCCAUGGAUCAGUACAUGGAACCAGCACCACAUGGAGAUCAGGACGUUCUGAACAAUUCAACCGAGGUUCAUCCAUCCAACUGUACCGAUCAGACUGGCCGAGCCGUGUACCGGAUUGACCCGCGUUCGUCCGGAAUGGAGUUUCGGCUGGAACCACGAUCAAACGACCGAACUGACCGUACCAGAGCUCGUCUUUCCCGACCAUCUCGACAUUCUAGGGACAAUAGUCGAGCCAGACUUAGCUUGGGUCAUGAAGAACCUAAAGACAUACAUGGAUUCUCACCGGGCAGACAUACAUGGAUUCUCACACUUAGCUUGGGUCAUGAAGAACCACAAGAGUCCUUAUCGUUACCGCCGUGCAUCUAUCAGGUUCAGAUGAAUCUAGACAGUAGCCGAAGGGUUUCCUUGACCAGAACGUGAACCGUAGGGUCAUCUUUGACCAAUCUGCAUGGAAAACUGAGUCUUUGACUCAUUAAUAAUAUUCUAGUCAAUGUUUCUAUUUUCUAUGUCUUGUUUUCCCACAAUUCUCUUUAAUUCUCAUUGACUACAAGUAGUAUAAUAUGUAAUCUCUUCCAUGAAUAAAAUCAGUCUAGGUUUGAGUUUAUUUUUAUUUUUUUUUCUGAGUGAGAGAGAGAGAGUUCUUUAGCUAAUUCAUUGGUGUGAACCGGCUUGUUGAUUUGGUGGUCAGCCAAUUCAUCUUUGUGUGUUGUUUGGUGGUUAGCCAACACACUACAUUCUUUCUUAGGUGGUUAGCCUUAGAUCGUGGGUAUACCAAGAGCCAUUCUGCAUCUCUUGACAAUCCUUUCAAUCCAUCUCAGUUCCAGAAGUGCCAUUUGCCUUCUCGGAUCAUAUCCAACACCCAGCUAAAGUGAUCCUUCAAUCUAGGACGUAUCAUAACCUCCUCGCACACACAUCCGCAAAGGAGAACCCGCAACAGACCCUCUAGGAUUGGUUCCGACAGCAACUCCAAAGAACUCUUGUGAAAUAGACUGACCGGUCUAAAAAAAGGAUGUCGGUGGAGACCACCAAGACAAGCGGAAGGAACACCGCAACUCCACCGUCUGGGACAGCCGUCAACGCCUUCAACCAAGCGAGUCUAAUCACCCACCCGAGAAGGAAAAGCGCAUGAUGCAGAGGAAGGAGAUAGAUCCACUUCCGAAAUCCAGAUCUGACGCCAGAUCGAGACCACCGCAACCACGCUCUACCCAAAAAACCGCACAUCCACUCCACCACCACGCUUCUCCGGAGAUCCAAGACCAACUAACACCAGAUCUGAAACCGCGGUGGUGUCAAAAGCUUAGAGCGCCGUGAAAAGAAACGAGGAGAAGAAGGGAGGGGAGAGGCGAGAGAAGGAAGAAGAACGGAGGGAAGGCGACCGGAGACAGAAGAGAGAAGUCGCCGGCCACCCAAAUCAGAACAGAUUUAAGGCUUGCUUUUCUGAUGAGUUGUUGAUAAGGUAGAGAGAGGUUAGAGGAAAAGAGAGUUAAGUGAACUAUUUUUCUUCUUCUCAACCAAAAUUUAAGUAAACAAUCAUGACCAUAGUCCAUAGAUAGGGCAUAGAUGAGAGAUAAAGAUUGUUAUUUCUAUAUUGUACUAUUUCGGUUUUAUUAUAUUAUCACUGUUUUGUAAUAAAUUAUCACAUCUUUGAUAUUGUUACAUGGUUGCUCAUAUUUUCAUGUCCAAUAUGAAUAUCUAACAAGUUCAACCUUUUAUUCACCAUUAUUAUCAAUCUGAAUGUGCGGGAAUUUAGUUCAAAAAAAAAAAAAAAAGAAUGUGCGGGAAUUCACAGGAGACGAGUAAUGAGUAUCGACAGGCCCAAUUACACAGACAGGCCCAUUUGCCAAUUUGGCGCGAAAAUCUCCCGCCUAAAUCGAAGAUACAGUCUGAUGACUGAGUAGGUGUCAUUCAUUGUGCCCUAGUUUCCAUUAUCGAGAGAGAGAGAGAGAGAGAGGGUAAAAAUGGCGGGAGAAGAUUCAGACAACCAGCCGUCGUCGCCAGCUUCACCUUCCUCGGCUGGGUUCAACACCGACCAGUUACCUUUCAGUACGAGCCAGAACUCCGAGAAUAUUUCCGAUGAAGAAGCAGAGGUAGAUCCGCAAAUCAUAAGAGAUGAGCCGGAGGAGGAAGAAGAAGAAGAUGGAGAAGAUCUCUUCAACGAUAAC
rnacentral:lncRNA from 1 species